GAACUCUAGAUUCCACAUUGACCUCUCUUACUGGGUUUUUGUGAUACUUCUUCCUCUAACCCUACUUAUAUAACUAUUACUUAGUCAAUAUGUGCAGAACUCAUUCUCUUACCCCCAACACACCUGUUUACCCAACUUCCCAACUACUAUCAAAGGUAAAACUAUUCUUUAAAGUUCAGUGUCAUCUUUGAAUCCAAAUUAGCAUUCAUUCCACCUACCCUGUCUGUUAAGAAUUUUUAUGAUAUAUACCUUAAUAAUGAUUCUUAUUUGUAUAAACCUACAAAUAUUACAAUUAUGCAUAUUAAAUAUGUCUAUUUACAUAUUAUUCACUGUGCAUAUCUAUUAGAUAUUAUGCAUAUAUAUAAUUUUAUAGGUAUAUAUAUAAUUGCCAAUUAAGGGAAUCUAGAUUUUCUAAUAGGCUUUUUUUUUUAUCUUUCAGACUCCAUCUUUCCAGUUGUACUAGAGAUGAAAACUUGGUGAAUUAUAGUGGGGGGAAAUGUAUCGAUGUUGCACCAGGAAGUAAGCAAAAGAAAGAGACUGAAUCUUGAGCCCCUCUCCUACACUACUUCCUGUUUCUUCCUUACCAACUGUCUGGAUGAAGGUUUUUCUCACAGAUGUUAUUUUUUGGCCACCUAAGGGAUCAGCAACAUCUGCACUGAACCAUUUUCAGCAGGAAUUACAGCAUAAACUGCGUGAACUCCAUGAAUCCGGAACUGCAGUACAAGCCGGACCACUAGACUUUUCACUUCAUGACCUGAACCCAGGAGAAAAGGUGUACAUUAAGAAUUUCCAGUGUCCUGGAGUAACUCAGCCUUCCUGGAAAGGACUAUUCCAAAUAUUGUUAACUACUCCAACAUCUAUAAAGGUUGGAGAGAAGGACUCUUGGUUUCAUUGCUCACAGAUAUUUUUCUUCAUUCUUUGUAUGAUAUGUGAGAGAAAAGAAGAAUGA
rnacentral:lncRNA from 1 species